AUGACAGUUUGCUGUGAGUUCAGCAGCCCCUCACCCCAUUUGACUGUGUUUCCUUGCUUGCAGCAUCCCUAUGCCAAAUACAACAGAGACUUGGUCAAUGUGGCAGCUACUGUAAAGAUGGCGUUUUCUUGUGUAUCAACAGGCACCAUCGUUAUCUUCCUCCUUCCAGAAGCAAAANNNNNNNNNNNNNNNNNNNNNNNNNNNNNNNNNNNNNNNNNAUACCUGUCCUGUUCUUGCCAGUUUGAAAGCCCCUCACACUGGAGUAAACAACAUGUGAAACCAGGCUACAGGCAUGUCACAGCAUAAUCCCACCUCACUUGUACAGAGCUAGAGCAAGCGCCUGUCAGAUCCAGAUCGCACUGCCUGUACGUCACUCACUGCCUGUCUUCUGCUGUCCCUCCUGCCACCAGCUCGUGCCCUGGACAGCCACGAGGGCUGGGAGCAUCCAGGAGGGCGGUGAGGCACAAGGCCAAGGGGACACAAGCGGUGGUGCCUGUAAAUGGCCUGGGAGCAGGGUGUUGGGAGCCGAGGGGAGCGAGCGAUGACAGCAGCUGUAUUUGGUGGAGGGAGGCUGGGAGGAGCAGAGGCUGGGGGGAGGCAAAGCCAGCUCUCAGCAGCGCAGGAGCCAGCCUGCGGAGCCGUGCCCAAGGGAGCCCUCACUACCACCCUCUGCCUGAGCCCUGGCGCAGCCCGUUGUGCAAAUGUCAGUGGCCAGGAGCCAGGGAGAACGGGACCCACUCCCCAUGACCUGCGUCUCCUUCGGGCCAUAGCGCAGCUCAGGGCUGUGCUAGGUUGACGAGACCACGCAACUGAGGCUUGCGUACAAGCGUUGUGUCCUUGCUCACAAUUGCCCUCCUCAUUUUUUAUGAGACCUGGGCAUAGCUUAAUAACUUGACGCUGCUCUGGCUGAAGCCAGAUAACUCUGCCAGUACUCUCAUAGUAUGCAGCCAGAUCUGAUCAGUUGUUGGACCAGAUCCACUGUUGUGUUUCUUAAAUUCAAUUGUUAAUAUUUGGAUUCUGAAAAAAGGGAACAUCUGUCCCUGCACUUUGGCACCAGAUCCAUGCGAGCCUGAAUAAAUCACACAGUGCAAACCA
rnacentral:lncRNA from 1 species